rnacentral:rRNA from 1 species
UACGGAGGGUGCAAGCGCUAUCCGGAUUCACUGGGUUUAAAGGGUGCGUAGGCGGGCUUGUAAGUCAGUGGUGAAAGCCCGGAGCUUAACUCCGGAACUGCCAUUGAUACUGCAAGUCUUGAGUACACUUGAGGUGGGCGGAAUACAUCAUGUAGUGGUGAAAUACUUAGAUAUGAUGUAGAACACCGAUUGCGAAGGCAGCUCACUAAAUUGUAACUGACGCUGAGGCACGAAAGCGUGGGGAUCAAACAGG